UGAAGAGCUUAUAACAAUAUGAAUUUUGGAGGCAUCUUAUUCGUUCUGGCAAUCUUGUCGCGAUCACCAAGAUCUCCAACUAAAGUUGAAAAAUGUAGUCCCUUGGAUUGUAGAAACGGGGAUUAGCUGUAUUAUGACUAUAUAUGAUAAAACACUACUGCAACAAAGUACUUUGUUAAUUUAAUUAAACCUUACACAUCUGGUAAAUACAUUGUUCUUUUUAAUGUAACACUGACGUAUUAGCAAGUGAUACAGCUGGGAAACUGAAAUUAAAGCUGAAAGUCGAAAUUAAAUAUA